CCCCGCCGUACCAGUCAUCACCUUCUGAUUCGUGAUUUCUCUUCCACAUCCUUCUUUUUCUCCACAUCAAUCUGAAACCCGACCUGUGUGAUUCUGUGUAUCCUUCCUCUUUCCACCCACUUCUCACCAAUCCAUCAAGUGGGUCUUUUCCGAUUGAUCUGAUGAAGUUUUACUUUCGGCCGCCGCUUGAUGUUUCCAACCAUUCACGUCUCUACACCUCAAUCCCUCAACUAUUCAUUCGUCAUCCCUUCUCAUCAGUUGCCCAACUUUUAGGGUUGAAUGCAUCAACAAAGGUUCAUCUUUGCGGCAUACUUGCUUCCUGGGGAUUUAAGCAGAGAAGGAAGAAUUGAAUGUAUGCAAAAAUGGCAUGGAGAGUUGUUUUAGAUUCUGGAGUGUUGGGGUUGUGCUGUUUUGCCUUUGGAAGAGAGCCUUGCGGGUUUGUUGAUGGCUUAUGGCUAUAUAUGGAUACAAAGAGACCCCUCUAUGUAUAGUUUAUGUAGUUAGCCUUUGGGCAUUUGGGACACAGUAGGGGAUCUCCUAAAGAUAACAAGAAUCUCCACGAAGAAAUUGAAACCACAUAAUACUCCUCAUGCAGCCAUAACAUUGAAGUAAAAGAUCAGGUGCCUUGGGGAUGAAAUAUGUGUUUGCUGAGAGUUGGGCUUCAGAAUAUCUAAAUGUCAUCUUAUCCAAAUGGCCAAUUGAGAGGUGGAAAGUUCCAGAAUGCUGAUAAGGUUGAUGAUUUCAGGUUCCUUCUUCCUCUUAUAUUUCCAUUGAAAAAUUGACACUUUCCAUUUUUCAUCAUGAAAGUAGUUAGUUAAGAUUUUUGUUAAAAAAGACUGCAAUAAGAAGUGUUUAUGUGUUGCAAGAAUGUGUUGAAGGCCUCAAUUAUUGUGCAGGAGAAUCAGAAAAUGAAACUGUUUAGAUCAUCAUGAAUUGUGGUCAUGUAUUUACUCUUUCUCACAUUAAGCUACCUAUGAGUUACACUUGCAGGGAUACACAUAGUUCUCAUUCUUCUUCAUAGGGACUUUUGUAUCAUGCAGCAACGGAAAACCAAAGGAGCUUAAGGAUUUUAAUGAGAUAAAACAUUCUUGGAUUUUGGAUAAGAUGUGAAUCUCACUCCUUCUACAGAGAAAAAAUUGAAGCUCUAUUGCAUGAACUUGAUGAGGAAGAGAUGCAAAUGGAUGAAUUAGCAAAGAGGACUAUAGAAGUUGAAAGAAUUCAUUCCUUGAGGUGUUGAUGCUGUUAAACCUGUUGAAAAUGGCUCAUGACAAACUGCAGCUUUUAAACAUGAUGAAAAUAUUUAUACAAAUAUAGAAUAGUUGGUUGGUUGUCUCAUACAACUAUUGGUAGAUAGGGAUAAUGAGUAAUAGCUUUAGUGUGAUGGUGUUAGAUGAUCAUAUGUGAGGGAAUUGGAUAAAGGGAUAUUUGAAGGAAGGUGAUCAUGAAAAAGGCUACAUAUUCUCAUUUGAUACUGUGCCGAAAAACAAAAGACUUAUAGA